GACGUAGGGCGCGAGCGUUGUCCGGAUUUAUUGGGCGCAAAGAGCUCGUAGGCGGUCUGUCGCGUCUGCUGUGAAAACCCGAGGCUCAACCUCGGGCCUGCAGUGGGUACGGGCAGACUAGAGUGCGGUAGGGGAGAAUGGAAUUCCUGGUGUAGCGGUGGAAUGCGCAGAUAUCAGGAGGAACACCGAUGGCGAAGGCAGUUCUCUGGGCCGUAACUGACGCUGAGGAGCGAAAGCGUGGGGAGCGAACAGG
rnacentral:rRNA from 1 species